rnacentral:tRNA from 1 species
AGCUCAGUUGCUAGAGUGCUUGCCUAGCAUGCAUGAGGCCCUGGGUUUGACUCCCAG